rnacentral:rRNA from 1 species
CAGCAGCCGCGGUAAUACGUAGGGUGCAAGCGUUAAUCGGAAUUACUGGGCGUAAAGCGUGCGCAGGCGGUUAUAUAAGUCAGAUGUGAAAUCCCCGGGCUUAACCUGGGAACUGCGCUUGUGACUGCACAGCUAGAGUAUGGCAGAGGGGGGUGGAAUUCCACGUGUAGCAGUGAAAUGCGUAGAGAUGUGGAGGAACACCGAUGGCGAAGGCAGCCCCCUGGGCCAAUACUGACGCUCAUGCACGAAAGCGUGGGGAGCGAACAGGAUUAGAUACCCGAGUAGUCCCUGUCUCUUAUAC